AUUGAACGCUGGCGGCAGGCCUAACACAUGCAAGUCGAGCGAGCGGAGGACGGGUGAGUAACGUCUGGGAAACUGCCGGAUGGAGGGGGAUAAAUACCGGAAACGGUAGCGAAAACCGCAUACCAGCAGAUGUGCACAGAUGGGAUUAGCUAGUAGGUGGGGUAAUGGCUCACCCAGGAGACAAUCCCUAGCUGGUCUGAGAGGAUGACCAGCCACCAUGGAACUGAGACACGGGCCAUACUCCUACGGGAGGCAGCAGUGGGGAAUAUUGCACAAGGGGGGCAAGCCUGAUGCAGCCAUGCCGCGUGUGUGAAGAAGGCCUUCGGGUUGUAAAGCACUUUCGGCGGGGAGGCGUUACCCGCAGAAGAAGCACCGGCUAACUCCGUGCCAGCAGCCGCGGUAAUAC
rnacentral:rRNA from 1 species